GACGAUAUGAAACAAAUGACAAACCUGACUAAAGAGGAAUUUGUGCACAUUCUUCGUCACCAAAGCACCGGAUUCUCUCGGGGGAGCUCAAAAUAUAGAGGAGUGACCUUGCACAAAAGUGGUCUAUGGGAGGCUCAAAUGGGACAGUUCCUUGGGAAGAAAUUUUUGAAGGGCCCAUUCAUGUCAAUGUGAGCCAUAUUAUUCAUGAUUUAUCAUUUGGGCCAAAAUAUCCUGGAAUUCACAACCCACUUGAUGAGACUUAACGGAUUCUGCGUGGUUCAAGUGGAACGUUCAAAUAUUACAUAAAGAUUGUUCCAAUUGAAUACAGAUACUUAUCAAAAGAAGUUUUACCAACUAAUCAAUUCUCAGUCACGGAAUAUUAUUCUCCUACGAACGAAUAUGAUAGGACUUGGCCAGGUUUGUUUGGA